GAUGAACGCUGGCGGGAUGCCUAAUACAUGCAAGUCGAGCGGUAACACUUCGGGUGACGAGCGGCGAACGGCUGAGGAACACAUUGGUACUUGCCCCAAACUCAGGAAUAACAUCGAGAAAUUGAUGCUAAUGCCGGAUAUCCCAGUAAUGGGAAAGAUUUAUCGGUUUGGGAGAGGCCUGUGUCGUAUCAUGCUUGUUGGUGAGGUAAUAGCUCACCAAGGCUUUGGCGCGUAUCUGGUGUGAGAGCACGACCAGACAGAGUGGGACUGAGACACGGCCCAC
rnacentral:rRNA from 1 species